AAACUCAAUAAUUCACUCUCAUAAGCUCUCUGUUACGCGUGCUCUAGCUGUAUAUCUCGCUCUUACUCUCUUCCCCUCGCGCUCCCGCGAUCUCACUCUCGCAGUCUCUCUCCCGCCAUCUCUCUCCUGCGAUCUCUUACUUGCACUCCAUCCCUCACUUUCGCUAUCUCGCUGUCGGUACUGUUCUUAACUAACAUUUAGUUCUCAAUUUGAAAUAGCUAGGAUUUUUUCGUUUUUGUUUUGAUUUCAUUCAGUUUAGAUUUUCGUUUUUGUUUCGAUUUUAGAUCAUGUGUAUCUUUGGUUUAACUUUUAAAGAAAAUUAUUCUGGAGUGUGGUAGCUAGUUUUUAAAAAUUGACUUAAGCAAUUUUAAUUGAAGC
rnacentral:lncRNA from 1 species